GGUUGGAUGCAAUGAACAGUUGCAUUGAGAUUACAGUUUGGCCCUUGCUUGAUCCAAAAGUAACGCCAAACCAACCACAGCGAGUUGGAUUUGGUCCAUGUGGAUGCGGAUGUGACAAUGAACCGCUGAGAUUGAGGUAGAAAACAACGGUAGAUUUUGGCUACGGGUCAAGCUAGGUUGAGUUUAGUUGGUCUCCAGUUCAGCUGCAAGGCUACAGCAAAUCUACUCAAUGCUGGUUUGGGAUUCGGAUGCGUCACUGCCUAGUUCCCAGAUUUUGUUCUAGAAAAAGAAAAAAGAAGGCAUGAAAAAAAAAUGAAAAACAAUAAAAAAAAAGAAACAAAAAUGAUUAUAUGGAGACUCACAAAUAUUUCAAGUACGAAUGUGUCCUUGUAGAUUCUGUACUGUGAACUGAAAGUACGGGAAAGUCUCUCCCCUCAGUUCUGUUCAGUUGCUGAGCUGAACCUUUCUGAGUCAAAAACUAGAACUCUAAUGAGAGAUCUUUGCCUCCAUUCAGACAACAGCAAAACAAACCCACCCUUUAUUUGUCUCUUAUUGUUCCUUGAUGAUUUUGUUCGCUAGCCAUACGCUGCCUGAUGGCUCUCUUGUCUUUGCAGCCAAAUAACCCAAAGCGCAUGAAAGGCAUCCUCAGCUUGUAAACCUUAGCAUAUAGCAAGUCAAUCUUUCUUAGUGGCAGACCUCUCUCUCUCUCGCUUCGCAUAUGUUGGCACACGAGGAGCAGCCCUGGUUGACCUGAGGGAAUUAACAAGGGUAAUGCUCAAUGAGCCUUGUGUUUGGAGUCCAUAACAAGUUUGAGGGCGUUGGCACCGGCCACCCACCAACUGUGCCAGCAAUACUGAGAGAUGGAGAAUCAAUGCGUAGUGAGGAAAAGAGCGCUUCUCACGGCUCGUCACUCUCCACCCACUCUUGGCACCAUGUACCCCAGCUUGCAUUUGCAUAUGCUUUCCGCUCCUCAAAAGGAGGCCUCUUAUUUGGACUCUUUUGGCUCCAUUAACUAUGCUUUCUUUUGCUUUACCUCCAUUUCCCUAUUAUUAUAUUCUCUUAAUUAAUAUAUAAUCUUUCUGGU